rnacentral:lncRNA from 1 species
CCCAUCAGCAGCUCUCUGAGGGGGAGGAGCCACGACGACGAAGACGUCCUGAGACAUGGUGGCCUCGCCGUGAGGAGCGCGUGUGAAGACCUGCAGGCCGAGCGUCCGUCCGUCCGUCCGUCCGCUCGCGGUUCCCCCCGCCCCUCAGGUGAACCAUGGAGGUCUCCUGGCUCCUCCUCCUUGUGUCGGUCGCCGUCUUAGCCGCCAUCUUCCUGCUGCUGGUUGUCUGUGUGGACUGCUCAAACCAAGGCCCCAUGGCUCACAUCAGCCAGAGAGCCCCCUCAGAGGACGACAUGUCGAACCCGAGAUUCAUCGUCAUCCACCCAGGAUCCACGCUGCCGGUCCUGGACGGGAACGCCGCCCACACCUUGUCCGUCCCAGUGUCUCCAUACCCGACCGCUGCUGAGCCUGGAUCCUGGCGGCCCACCACCCCGACGGAAACGGAGAGCAACCCCAGCUACGAGAACUCAGGAACGCCUCCGGCACGGCCAGAGAGCGACGGCAAUGAGACCGGAUACAUGUAGGCUCCGCCCCCUGCCGCAGCACCUGCUCUGCUCUGCAGACGCUGACUGUCGUCUUCUUGUCCCGCAGACUCGUGUUGCCCGAAAGCGACCCUGAGAAAAGCUGCGCCUCCAUGGCCAACUCAGGUGAGCACACCUGCGGCUGUUCUGGAAUGAGACUCCGCCCUCUGUUGAUGAAGAGUUUUCUGGACAAACUCUCAAGUUUGAUUUCUUUGUUCCUUUCUGGUGAAGACGAGCAGGACUCCUCCUCCUCUUCAUCCUCAGAUAAUCUACACGAGUACGUGAACGUUGGUAAGUCCUCCACGCCGCUCAUCAUCUCCAAAGGCCUUGGCUCCGCCUCCUUCUACCAGCCCAUCGAUAAUGAUAAACGUGAUGUCACCAGGUGACACUCAGCUGUAGAGAGGAAAGAAAAAUGUGCUGGGGGGCGGGUCCGGUCAGAGGAGCGGGGCUUAUGAUGCGGGCGGAGCCACUUAGACUGACUUUGUAUUCCCAGAGCCCCAGGGUCCAGCAACU